UUAGAGGCCACUUUCUUCAAGUCUCUAAUUUUGCAUAUGAGAAACACUAAGACUCAGCAGAUAAGGAUGGAGGCGACUCAACAUCACACUGAGACAGAUAUGAGCCCUGCAUUUCUGAAUGCCUUGAAAGAAAAACCAGCAAGUUGGGAGGGCCGUGUCUCCUUAUCAUCUUCCAGGAAUUCAAAACCGUGAUUUCCAGUUUCCAAAUGCAACUCAAGCUCCAUCACCCUGUACAUCUUGCACGGUUUCUCCAGCAUAUCCUGAUCGCCACCUCCAGACCCUUCUGAUAGAUUCAUUACCUGAAUCUAUUUGCUAUUUCUUUAUAUGAAUGCAAGAAUGGACUAACACACUGACCAUGGAACAUAGACAGAUGUGAGAAGAUCCAGAAAAGAUGCAGCUCAAUUAAUUAGAAAGGCCUCUGGAAUGGGCACAAGCCAGAUCCUGAACUCCUGCUCUCCCUUGGCUCAACCUCAUCACAGCCAGAAAGGAUGAGAGCUCUUUAAUGAAGUGCAUACAUGUCAGUUUCCCAGGACACAAACCAAAGUAAAGAAGAAUGGAGCAUGCUCCUAUAAAGGAAAAUAAAAGGAGAUCCAUAAAGCAAAUCCAACUCAUGGACACUUACUAAACAUGCACUGUGUUCAUGUAAUGGCUCCAAGAAUCUUAGUGGACAUGGACGGAAGUACACACCUGGAGUGGACCUACAGAAGCUCAGAGUCAAAUGGCAGAAAGAUGAUAUGGGCAUUGAAUACAUUAAAUGAAAAUAAAAGUAAUAAAUCACAAGAGAAGAGAGUAACUGAGGGUGUCACUGGGCAGUACAUUAGCAAUUAAUUACCAGACACCUAUGCAGUUAAAAUGUACUGCUGGCCUUCAAAGGUGAAGGAAUCCAUGGCCUGGAAUGACCAUAAAAAAUUUAUUUUAACAAAAAGACAUGACUGUAGCCUUUUAGGGUAAAGAGAUUUUAACAUUUGAAGAGCAGAGAGACAGGUACAGCAUUGCAGGCUAGGAAAUGUGGGAGUUCAAAAUGGCAGACCAGGAGGAAGGCAAGUUGUGUUUGGGAAAAUUGACUUUAUGGUUAUUAGAAAGACCAUGUAAGCAAGCAGAGAUCAAUUGUGCUAGAAAUGUUUUUCAAAUUGAGCAUCUGGUGUGUGUUAGGCACUGCUCUCGGCACUGGGGAUACAGCUGUGAACAUGAUCAACAAGGACCCUGCAAUCAUGGAGAUUAAAUUAUAGUGAGGCAAACAGAAUAUAAAUAAAUAUACACAUUAGGUGAAAGCCAGACAGCUUCGGGUCUUAUGGAGAGAGUUACUGUUGGAGCAUGUACUAGAGAAUGACUAAAUGGUAACUAUAUGGGAUGGUCGAAGAUGACCUCAAUGAGGAAUCUCUACACUUAGAUAAGACCCAAAUAGCAAGAAUGGUUCUUGUUCUGUAUUAUAAUCAAGAGGAAGAGGAUUUCAGGCAGAGGGAAAAAUGGGAUCCAUGGGCUAAAACAGGUACUUGAAUGAUGUUUUUGAGGAAAUAAAUGAAGAUCAGGGUGGCUAGAGCAUUGUGAUGAAGGUUUACACCAGGUGCUGGCUGGUUUUUAUUCCUAGUGAGAGACAAUUGUUGCAUUUUCAGGGAUUUUGUAAGGCAAUUCAUAUAACGUUGGUAGCUUAUAAUUGACUAUGGUAGGAAUAUUCAUACCUGAGAAAUCGGCAAACACUGUGAAUCAGGACUCCCUCUUUGUCCCCAACCCUCAACUCCCAUUCAGAGAGCCUGUUUUUGAGUAUUUUCUUGCAUACCACAGAGUGAGUAUAAGAAGCAGCUGGAAUAGUAACUAGGAACCAAUCAUCUUAGGCUUUAUAAGGCAGAGAAAGGAAUUUUAAUUUUAGGUGUGUUGGGAAGCCAUUAGUGGGUCUUAUGUAGGAAAUGAAUAUGGUCUGAUUUACAUAUGUAAAGGAUAAUUCUGAGUAUGUUAUGGAACACUUUGUAAAUAGGUAAAAAGAGAAAUAGGAAAAUCAGCUAUUGCAUUAGACUCAGUUAGAAGUGGCAGUGGUUUUGCUAGGGGUUAUAUAAAAGGAAGAAAACUUAAUAAUGUUAGGCCUGACUAUAGGUAGAAUCUAUAGUUUUUACUCAUGAAUUGGAUGUAAGAAUUGAGGAGAAACGAAGAACCAAGUAAAAAUUUUGAGCUUUGGCUUGGGAAACUAGGUAUAUGGUAACGCCAAAAAGAGAGAUGUAGAGAAUUGAUGUAGGAGCAAAGCUGGGCUGGGAAAUUGAGAAAAUUAUACCUGCCUUGUUAAAGUUGAAACACCCACAUGACACUCACCUGGAAGGAUAUUCACACUUGGAUUGUUGGGGAAUAAUAAGAACUAGAGAUACAGUUUGAGGGUCACUGGCAUAGAGAUAGUAAUUAAAACCAGGAUGUCAGUUAUAUCACCUAGGGAUAAUGCAAAGAGAGAGAAAAGCAGGAGAUAAGACAGAUCGAGCAGUGGGAGAAGCCGGCAUUGAAGAAUGAAGAGGAAAACCAGGCGUGUCUAGUGCCAUGAUGCCAAGAGAAAAACCCAGCUCCGAGAAGACAGGAGUUUGUUUGCUAAUGUUAUUGAGGGAUAAAGUAAAAUACGAAGAGAGAAGUAACUUGGACUGGCGGCAAAGCGAUCACCAGUGCUCCUUCUAACUGUGGUGUCGAUAAAGUAAUGUGGACUGGAUGAAGGAGCCUCGUUGGAAUAAACUCAUAUAGGAAUGAUGAUACCGUGUUUACCUACUAAUGGGAAUGACCCUAUUGAAGAGGGAACAUCACGUAUGUUGGGGAGCGGAAAAGUCAAAGUCCUCGAAAAGAUGGAAUUCUGCUCCUGGAACCAGCCACCAUGCUAUGCAGAGCUGAAUCCAUGUAGAAAGCUAGCAAGAGGAUUCAAGGAGCCCUGGCUGACAGCUGAGCUGAGCUCUGUCCUGUAGCCAGCACUGACAGCCAGCUAUGUAAUUGAGCCAUCAUAGACAUUACCGUCUCAUUGUGCCUUCGGAAGAUGACAGCCCCAGUCAAUACCACACAGAGCGGAAGAACUACCCAGCUGAGACCAGUCCUACACCGAAUUGUGAAAGAUGAUAAAUGGUCAUUGUUCUCAGCUAUUACAUUUUCAGAGUCAUUUGUUAUACAGGGAUAAAUAACCAAAUCACCCUCCAUUUCUAUUCAGCUUUUAGCUUCAAUCUAGACCCUCAGUAUCCUCAGUUUUUGGAAGUAUACUCGCAAGCAUUUGGCACAUAAUAAAGGCUCAGUGAAUAUUAAAUAUGUGUGUGUAUAUAUACAAUCCACUUCUAUAC
rnacentral:lncRNA from 1 species